rnacentral:rRNA from 1 species
AUUGAACGCUAGCGGCAUGCCUUACACAUGCAAGUCGAGCGAGUGGCGGACGGGUGAGUAAUAUAUCGGUAUCUGCCCGGUAGCGGGGGAUAACUACUCGAAAGAGUGGCUAAUACCGCAUACUAUUAGAGCGGCCGAUAUGGGAUUCGCUAGUUGGUGGGGUAAAGGCUUACCUAGGCCACGAUCCGUAGCUGGUUUGAGAGGAGGACCAGCCACACUGGGACUGAGACACGGCCCAGACUCCUACGGGAGGCAGCAGUGGGGAAUUGUGCACAAUGGGCGAAAGCCUGAUGCAGCCAUCCCGCGUGUAUGAGAAGGCCUGCGGGUUGUAAAGUACUUUUAGUAGGGAGGCGUUAUCUACAGAAGAAGCACCGGCUAACUACGUGCCAGCAGCCGCGGUAAUUC